rnacentral:rRNA from 1 species
GACGGAGGAUGCAAGUGGUAUCCGGAAUCACGGGGCGUAAAGCGUCUGUAGGUGGUCAAAUAAGUCAACUGUUAAAUCUCGAGGCUCAACUUCAAAAUCGCAGUCGAAACUAUUAGACUAGAGUAUAGUAGGGGUAAAGGGAAUUUCCAGUGGAGCGGUGAAAUGCGUAGAGAUUGGAAAGAACACCGAUGGCGAAGGCACUUUACUGGGCUAUUACUAACACUCAGAGACGAAAGCUAGGGUAGCAAAUGGG